GGGCGUAUAGCUCAGUUGGUUAGAGCGCCACGUUGACAUCGUGGAGGUCGUUGAUUCGAGUUAUACUACGCCCACCA
rnacentral:tRNA from 1 species